rnacentral:rRNA from 1 species
CCAGUUUGAUCCUGGCUCAGGACGAACGCUGGCGGCGUGCUUAACACAUGCAAGUCGAGCGGUAAGGCCCUUUUGGGGGUACACGAGCGGCGAACGGGUGAGUAACACGUGGGUGACCUGCCCUUAGCUCUGGGAUAAGCCUGGGAAACUGGGUCUAAUACUGGAUAUGACUCCAUGUCGCAUGGUGUGGGGUGGAAAGCCUUGUGCGGCUAGGGAUGGGCCCGCGGCCUAUCAGCUUGUUGGUGGGGUGAUGGCCUACCAAGGCGACUACGGGUAGCCGGCCUGAGAGGGCGAUCGGCCACACUGGGACUGAGACACGGCCCAGACUCCUACGGGAGGCAGCAGUGGGGAAUUUUCCGCAAUGGGCGAAAGCCUGACGGAGUGACGCCGCGUGGGGGACGAAGGCCUUCGGGUUGUAAACCCCUGUCAAAGGGAAAGAAGGGUGUCGGCGUGAUAACCGCCGGCACUUGACGGUACCUUCAUAGGAAGCCCCGGCCAACUCUGUGCCAGCAGCCGCGG